CAGCCGCUUUGCCUACGGCCUGCUCCAGCAAGUCCUCUGUCUCACUGAGCAAGCUAAGGAGCAGUUACUAGAGCUGGAGGUUGUUUAAGCUAAAGGGCAGAUUAACAAGACUGAGAAAGUUCCCCAGGAACAGCACAUUUAUUUCUUCAUUAAGGUUGUAUUGCCACUGGUUGAUCAAUACUUCAAAAAUCACUACCUUUACUUCCUGUCUUCCCUUAGAGAUGAUUUUCAGUGCUCCAACAAAGAGAAAGAAACGGUGACCAGUGGAUGAAGUGCUGGCCUACUGUUACAGGAUCCUCAGCAGUCUCUACAUUCUUGGCACCUGUAAUGGUACCUUCAUUGAGAGUCAUAGGUUGGUCCUAGGGGAGUGUCUGGCUGCAUUAUCUGCAGCCUUUCCUGUGUGUUUCUUGGAGCUGAAUGACCUUCAUUCCCCCUCUGACACUGUGACUAAUGAAGAGAAUCCGAGAGAACCUGCAGGCUCCUGUCCUUUUUGCAGGAAGCUUUUUCAGAGGUUGAAGAGCUUGCAGAGGCGGGGUUAGCUUCAUGCCACGCCCUUUUAACAAGGGUCACAGAGGUGACUCUGUUGUGUAGUUACAUCUCUCGAUAGGGGGAAGCUGGUAACCUGACACCCAAGGAUGGGAACUGUUCCUCUGUCACAUCCCAACAAACUAAUUCUCUAAAGGGUCACAUCCUUUCCAUCAUCCAUUCCCACCUGGGGACUGCAGAUAGGGCUUGGAUGAAAUAGCUUGCAGUGUUUGCCCAGCCGAUCAUCAGCACAGCAGAGCCAGACCUACUGGAGAGCCACUUCCUGCCUCUGAUGGAAAAGUUAAGGAAGAGGAUGGAGUCAAUGCUGCUGGAGGAGGAGCAUUUGAAAACAGAGGGGCAUGGUGAUGUCUCAGAGCAGGAGUUAGACAUCCAGGAAAGGUUUACAGGGUUGGUGCAAGAUAUUUACACAUUUGACCCUUUACUCAUUCCAUUUGUAGACCUCCACAGAAUGUGUUGGCUAAUUGAGGUUAACAUAGAUGCCAGAAGGCU